AGGAAGAAAGGAGAUGAAUGAAGGAAAAAGAGCAAAAGACUGAAAUGGACAGACCUACCGUGUUUUUCCUUUUUAAAAAGCUUUCUGGGACACUGUCCUAAGACGUCUGCUUACAUCUCAUAGCCCAGAAGUGGCUCUCGUAUCUACCCUUUGCUGCACAAAUUCUGUAGCUUCCGUAUUAGAGGAAGGGACUGUAUGACUCUCGAGCAGCUUUGUGAGGACUUUAAUACUGUUUAAGAUAAUCCAUAGCAAAUAGCAAACCCAUAGUGAAUAAACAUCGCAGUUCUGACAUGUAAGCAGACCUGAGAAGGGUUUAAAUUAAAGAGUCGGGAUUACCUAUGUGCAGGUGACCCUCUGUGUGAGCUGGUCUGAGAAGCUGCAGCUUAGCCAGUGUCCCUGGCCCGAUGCGGGUAGUACCUCCUUUCACCUUUCUCCAAGUCGUUACUAUGAAAAAGCUGGAAGGGUUUUAUGGGAAUACCUGCAUAUCCAUGACCUAGAUCCUACUGUUAACAAUUUCCUACGGGUGUCUUAUCAUAUAGCUCUCCAUCCACCAAAGCCCCCAUCAAGAUAUAAAACAGAAAAGUUCCCUUAUUCCCGCUUCACAAUCAGACAGCUGCUGUUUGGACUUUAUCAACAUCGAUGACUUAGCCUGUUUGGGGACUUCGGAUUAAUGGAGUCCCACAGCAGAUAUUCUUUGAGUAAGAAACUCAGGAUAAUAUUUUUGACAAUCACCCAGGUGUAUCAUUGCAAAAGCUAAUUUAUUUCACUCAUUUUAUCAGAACCGAGCAAACUCUGGAUCCUGAUUGGGUCCAAAUCACCUAUUUCCAAGGCUUAUUUUUUAAAAUCUCUAUAGGGAGCAAAGAACUUUAAAGCUAUCAGAGCAAUGCUGCUCUUCUCUGUGGCAAAGAGAACGUAAACCCCUGGAAAUAAAAAUCUUUAUUUCACAAGAAGGAAUGUGGGUUUGGGAACUUCUAAAUGACUUAUUUUUUAUUUCAUGUCUCUAAGAGAUAUAAAUUAGCAGCAGCAAAAUCUUAUGGCCCUUUGAGUGCUUCAGCCCGUGAAUGGUAAGUUAAAGUUUGUUUAGCCGUUCGGUGGGGUUUAACCAUACCGGAAAGAGCUGUUAAGUAUUUUAUGGUGUCUAAACACGCUUGCAACCCUGGGCGCCAUUCUUGUCCCCUGACACAUUUUUGUUCAAGUGAGAAAGGGAACGACAGAAUGAACAUAAAAAUAUUCCCAGUUAACAGAAGUUUAAAUGAAUUAAAAAAAGAAGGAACACACAUGUUUGCAUUUAGACAUGGUAUAGGGCCAACUUUUCCACGAAGAGCUCCUUAUUACUUUUGCUCUAAGUGAUUCUCUGAAUGUUCAGCGUUUGACAAGGGGAAUUCCCCUCCCCUGCUCUCCCUGCCUGAUAGUCUAUAUUAAACUAAUUGCUUUAUUUUAACAAGGGGGACCCUGUUUCCCCAACCAUCCUUCUGGUCCACAGCUUGAACUUCAACUCUGAGGAUCUUUGCUGAGAGGUAAUUGCACCACCGAUAUGAUUUAAGGCACUUUCGUUCUGGUGCGUGAAGUCUUCCCCGUCUCCAGAAACAUCGUUAACUCUCCAAGGGUCAGAUUCCCAUCCUACAUAAUUCUUGGAGAGUCACAUAAAAAAUCUGGCCCAGAGUUUCCUUAUCAUUUAUAAUUUUCAAAAUACUCUCAGAGACACAGAACUAUCUAGUGUUUCAGAGAUGAACAAUUUGCUGUUUUUCACGAAUAAAAAUUCUCUGAAGAGUAAUGCAAGGAAGCCCGUAGGAUUAGGACUGUCACAGGGAGAUUAUAAAUAACUCGCCGCCAUAACCUGCGCUGCCCUCAUCUCAGGCCCGCAUUCAUAAACACCCGCUUCAUCAGCGUCUUCUCAAAAAGUCCUCAUGAUCGAAGUGAACACACGUGGAGAACUGGCAUGAGGUGAGGGAUUGACCUUCCUGCCGUGGAUGGAGAAGCGGAGCUGGGCACCACUCUGAGGGCCCCCAGCCUCGAGACUCAAGGUUCUCCUUCUCUGGAAAGUUCCCCCGACCCGCCUGCUCUGAAGUCCAGGGCAGCAGCAUUGAGUUCUGUGGUUGGUGUAGCCUGUGUUUUCCUCCCACCUCCCCCAUUUUCCCGGCAAGAUGCUUUCUGCACUUGUGUACUUACACACACACAGGCACCUAAAACACACAUCCACGCCCCACAGAGAACUCCACAUACAUCCCACAUCCAACUCCGAUAUGCAGACACACAUGCACACACGCUUUCAAGGUGAGCAGCAUUACGUUUAAUUUAUUUACGUUCUCUCCGGUCCUUACUCCUUAGGAAGAAUCUCGUUCUUCUGUGGUAGGCUAAAGCAAAUACUAAUGCUGACUCUUUUGGAGGCGUUGGCUCCGUCAGUGAUGUAAACACAGUGUAUAUCCAGGCAGCUUCAGCCAGUGGAACGCGGAGGAGCUGGCCUCUGAAGACCCAGGUCCCGCCCUGGCUCCGGCACGUUUCAGCGAAAGCAUCUUGGACGAGGCAGCCGUCUCCUCCUCGGCGAGGAUCACACCUGAGCAAGGCGGCUCUAGGAUCCCGAGGAAAGUGCUAGGAUGAGCGGGAACACACCUUCCAGGAAACAGAAGUGAAGUGAGAUCUGUGCAGAGGUCUCUUUAGCUCUUUGCUAUUAAAGGGGCUGGUGUGGGGACCGUGGCUGGGCUGCUUUACUGCUGGUGGGCUUGAUGCUGGGGGCUUAGCGCACUGCGGGCCAGUAAAGGCUGGCCGUGCAGAGCUCGAGGGGAGACAGGAGGCUUCCUAGAAUCUUCAGGAGACCCGGUGCUGCCAUUCACCCCUCCCAGGGCUGCAAAUCCUCCCUGCGCACGUCUUCCCUUUCCUUUGGUUCUCCACUGGGAAUCCUCCCCAGAUGCCAGCAGGGGAUGUGCCCCUCCACACAGCACCAGUGACCAUGGUGCGGAGAGAGCCAGGGACCACGGCCAGUGCGUGGGGGAGGGAAGGAGGAGGGAUGCUCAACCCGUGUCUUACACUCAACGUCAAAUAACUUGCUUGUCGGAACUAUCAGUCCAUUUCAGAUAAGCCCAGAGCAUGGCAUUCUUGCUCCUUUCAGAGAGCAGCGUCUCAUUUCAUUAUUGGAACUGGGGAGAGGAGAUGGGUUUCCUAUCCCACCACCUCACGAGGCUCAGCGCUCUGCUGUGCUGAUUUCCGCACUCCCCAGAUCCUUUGCAGCGUGCUCCCUGGACCUCUUGUUCUCGGUGCCUUUGAUCCUUUUCUUUUCUUGUCUCCAUCCUUCUGCUGGUGCUGUGGUUUCUCAUGGAGUGUCCCUCCGCUCGUGGGCCCUUGCUUUCAACCCAACUCUUUCUGUUAUUUUUCAUUUUUGAAUCCUGUCCAACCACAAAUUUCCCAUUUCUCUCUGUGGCUAGUUGGUAGCUGAUGGAAACCCAGUGGCAAUCAGGCUAUAGGUUGGCACAGCUCCAAUUCCUGAGCGAGUAAGUGAUGCCUUGGCCAGAGAGAUUGUCUCCAAAACGCUCAGCCAUCUAUUAAUCUGGCAUGGGCGUGGCAUCAGUCGCCUGGGGAAAAGGACAGACGUUUGGUGGGGUCUGGAUAAACUCACCGUCAGCGUUACGAAGACGGUCCCUGGAGGAAGUCCUGCUGAUGGGUACGUUUAUCAAUAUCGCGUGGGUGGUGCAGUCUGCUCCGGAAUGGCCAAGCCCGCCUCCUCCUAAAGCCUCUGGCUCCCCCGCGCCACCCACGCCUCCUACGGCGGAUGUGAUCCUGUCCUGUGCUCCGCCCCGACUGCACCCUUACGCUGAACUUGCUGCAGUUAUUUGUUCACGGAUCUGUCUUCUGCUAGAUCAGGGCUCGGCAGCGUUGUUCGGUAAAGGCCAGAGAAUAACUACUUUAGACCUUGUGGGCUACACGGGCUCUGUCUCAACUGCUCAACUCUGCGGUGAUGGCGUCAAGCGGCCGCAACCGUAUGUAAACAAGUGGUGUGGCCAUGUUCCAACAAAACUUUAUUCAUGGACAUUAAAGUUUGUAUUUUAUCUAAUUUUGACAUGAAAUAUUAUUUUUCUUAUUUUUAAAAACCAUUUAAAACUGUAAAAACAACUUUUAGCUCACAGGCUGUAGAUAGACAGCAGGCGAUUGGACCCACCCACCGUAGUUUGUUGAACCCUGCACUUUCUAGAGUGUAAAUUCUGCGGGCUGGACUUUUCAUAUUUGUUUGUAUAUUCUAGAAGCUUGGCCCAUGGUACUUAAUAAAUACUUGUUUAAUAAAAGAGUAAACUAAAGAAUUUCUUCUGAAUGUACAUCAUAAAUAUAAUGCAUGUUUAUUAAUUCGUAUUAUAUUAUUAUAUAACAUUCUAAUAUAAUAAUAACAGAUUGUACUAUAUAAAUAUAAUACUAUAAACUUAUAUUUGCCUAGCUCUUUACAGCUGGACAGACACCUUCACAAACACCGCUCCUUUUGUCUGUGUGCCUGUGACGUCGGAAGGGAAUGCAAUGAGCCUGUGUUACAGAUGGUGGGGUUUAUCCCAGGGUGCAUUUCGGCUUUUGUGAGCACAUCAUAUAAACACUGAUUUCCAGUGGUGUCCAAAUAAUUACCCCUAUAGAAAAUGCCUUCCUGGUUUUUGUUUUCGUUUUUUAAACUUUAAUUACUUCUGGAGAUGUUUCAGGUGAUUUUUUGACACGAUAGAUAACGUGUCAGUUCUCCAGAACACAUUUUAGCUUCUUGGGGACUUCAGUUCACAUCUGGGAAGAGAGAAAAUCCCAUCAGUCUUCAUGAACAAGACGUCGGCGUGCAGUCUGGACCAUCCACCGUCAGUGGGGUCGUCUCUGAAGGAAAAGGAUGCCAUCCAUGGGGGUCAGUUUGGACCCCGAGGUUCCUGACGUGCCCUCUGGUUCGGCUACAGCACAAGGUCUGCAGGCAGCGGUCAGACUCACCAGUCUCUUCUGAAAUGUAGGAAAACAUUUCAGGAAAAGCAGAUCUGUGCCAGGGUCAGCCAUCUGAAGCUCUGAUUUCAAGAGGAAAGCAGAGGGGAGUGGAAGAGAAAGUCGGCCUCUGCCUCGGGAUGAAGGCGACCCUCUCUGUGACUUGGCUCGCGUCUUCCUGCAGCAGAAGGAGGGCAGCGUGAUUCUGGGUCACUUUGUGACGGGCGGACCACACAAAACAAAGGAGGGCGGUGCUGCGCGCUCACUGCUGCCCCGGUUUGAAAACAUUUAAUCAACUCUCCUCCCAGGACAUUUGAGUUCUGUGCACUCCUGCCCUUGUGGGCUCCGUCUGGAAGAAAAAGUGCCAAAACCACCGCUGGAAAGGCGGCCCGGAGGUAUUUUCAGUCCGCCUGGAAGCAGCAGAUUUGGGUCCUCUGACAUCGCGGAUGAGAGAAAGUACCCGGGGAGCAGCCUGUGGAUGAGGAACUUCUUUUCGGGGGAGCCGCAGCCGCUGCCUGGAGCCUGACAUCCUGCCCCUCAACAGUUUAGAGAAAUGGGGCCUGCUCAGGGUCCACAAACACCUGGCCAGGAGGGGUCUGAGCCUCCUCUGAGCCCCCCAGCACCGGAGCUCCAUUCUCAGGAAGCAACCCCAGCAUCUGAGAGCAUCCACCUCACUUCCUGAAUCUUUGGAAAAGAAUUUGCCAGGGGCUUCCAGAGACUUGGGCCAAAAUCCUCACUUGUCCUCCCACUUGAACACGUUACCAGACCUACCUGGGCUUCGGAGUUUUACCUCUGAAACGAGAAGACGGGGGGAGCCAGCCUCUGGGGUGCCUCAACCCAGGUGCCCGUUGUCCCUGUAUCUGGACCAACCCACAGGCCGGGCGGCCACCUCGGGGCCCCCAGCGGCCCCUCCCAGCCUGGUUCGCGGGGAGUCUCCCUCAUCUCCACUUCCAGGUCGCCCCGUAAACCACGAGCUCCUGUAGCCCCUGCUCAGAAGAGCGCUCUGAGCAGGGGCUGAGGCCUUUCACUGAGUCCUCCAGGCCUCGGCGGGCUUGCUGAGGGGGCGGGGUGUCUGCGACAGUGUGACCACGGCUCCCACAGCCUCGGGGACACGCCCAGGCUCGGGCCAGCGCACAGAGGCCAUGCUUUCAGAGUGAGUUCAGCGGGCCUGACGGGACCCACGGCCCGGUCAGCUGUCAGCCACACGCAAGGUUAUCUGUGGGCGGAAACCGUCACCGUCUAUGUCUGCUGGAAUUUUGGCAGCCACGGGAGGGACGGUGCAUCCCUACAGGCCUGGCUGAGUCAGGUUCCCUCCGUGCCAACGGUGCCACCAUCUUUGGCCGCCAAGGAGAGACGUUUUGGCAGGGCCCAGCGGCGUUUUCCCCGGAGGACAGUGUUACCGGCGUGCGGAGGAGACAGAGCUAGAAGGUGGCAGAGAUAGAAGGGGGCUGGGAUUCUGGAAGGACCUGGAUGGUUCUGGGAAAAUCUGGUAGCCAUUUUUGAAAGGAAAAAAAAACCAAAUCAAGGUAUGGGAGUGAGAGCGUGGAACUUCUUGGAAAUGAGGAGAAAGAAAAUAACAUGUCCGUCUCCUCAGCCUUGACCUCCCACCCCCGCGGCCGGCUGGACGACUCUGCUGGACUUUCCUGAUGCCAACUCGGAUCCGAAGUGUCCAAAACUGAGGUCAUCCUCCCUCACCCUGGCUCCUCUUCCCGUUCUGGCAGUAGAGCCACCCAUCAGACACCAGAGCGGGGCCUCGGGGGAAACCUCUGAUCUUCCCUUCUUCACCGCCGUCUCUGGCCGUCUCCUGCUCUGAGUCAGGAUUUCAAAGUCAUUGCUCACAAAAGUGAACAUAACUAAAGUGACCACGAAAGAAAAGGAAUCUGCAAAAGGAGAACUAAACCAAACGUCGGAGUAAACCGGGGGAUUUCCCACUGCUUCAUCCCACAGGCUCCGGCCCAGCCAGGACACCUGCCCCAGGCCUCGGGCUCGGAGCCCACCCAGCCCCCGUGGAGCCCACGUCCCGCACCUCCCCCUGGGCCCACGCCCCUGACCCAACCUUUCCUGGAUUUGCUGUCCCUGUUCCUAAGGCCCUCACCCCUCCUCCCACCUGCCCUAUGAGACGUCCUUCCUUUGCCUUCUGAGCUCACAGUAACUGUCAGAGCCCAGCUCAGCCAUGCAGCCUCUACCUGUGGGGCUUCCUGACCCGUCCCUGCCUUGGGGUUCUACUGCGCCCACAGCAAGGACAACGGAGCAUCGGCUCCCAGCUCGGGCCCCAGAGCCACACGACACCUGUAAGUGGGAGACACGCAAUUCCGGCUGAGUUGCGUAACAUUUCAGAGCCUUUGCUGUCCUUUCUGUAAUGCGACUGAUAACAGUACCUAACUUACGAGGGUGAGGGGAGGAUUAAAUAGGAUAUUGCCCUCAGUGUGCUUAGUACAAUGUCUGACAAUUAAUUAAUAAUCAGUCAACAGUUCUUGUUGUCACUGCUGUCCUUCCUACUCUCUCAUUUCCACUUUCCCGUUUGCUCGUUUGUUUUCAUGCGGCCAUCUUGUCGACCCCUACUAACUUGUAAGUUCUUGAAGGGCAAAGACAACGCUAUCUCUGUAUUAUGUUCUGCCCCGUGGUGCGCAUACACACGCACACACGCGUACACACACACACACACGAUGUUGUUGGAGUCGUGCCGGGGGCUGAGUAGAUGGUGGACGGACAAAAUUCCUGUCUGUCUGUGUGCAGGGUGGGUGGAGGCCUGGGGCCCCCAUCAUCUGUAGUGAUGAAACAUGGGCCUCGAGUAAAGAGGCCAGUCUGCCAACCAGGAGAGGCAGCGAGGGAGCUUCCAACGAGCACAGUUAUUUUAUCCAAUGUCACCCAAAGGUAGGCUAGGAUAACAUGCUCUGACUUUGGGGAAUUUAUAAAAUAGGCAAAGAACAACUGAUGAGGACAUGACAACUUCUGGAUUCAGGAUUUCAGGCAGCGUGUGAGGAGAAGGUGAAGAAAGGAAAGAGGCAGAAAGGGUCCCAAACAGUAGCCCCUGGUGAUGGCCGUGUAAUGGUUUUAUCUGAUCCAGGAAGAAAACAAAGACAACUCUUUUCCAUGUCAGAGUUUUAAUUCUAGCACUAUUUCUCCGUCAAACAAAACUGAACUCAAGGUAAAAUUGAAGGAGAAUCCAAUAGAAAGCAAUUGAGGACAGGCAAAGUGAACCAAAAUAAUGAAAGAGGCCUUUAUCACAUCAUGCCUCAAAACAGAAUGAAGAGACAGGCCCCAGCCCUCCAUCCCUCCCUGAUUUCCAGGCCUGGGACUCCCCAGAGGCAGACUUCCUACCCGUUGUCCCAUUGUUGCUUCAAUCCAGCCCCAGGGCACUGAUCUUAUCUCUUCAGGUUUGUUCAUUUGUUUUCCUAUCUCUAAAAUGCACCUUUGUAUAGAAUCUGGGCAUGGCUGAAAAAUUACCCCAUUCUCAGCAGUGUCUGCACUAAUCAUGGCCCCUCCCUCCUCCUCUCCCACCUGGGACCGUCAGCACACCCGAGCCCUUGUCAUCAGGCAACAUCCUUAGCACCACAGGGGGGUAAGAAAUACAAAGGCACAUUUGGGGUAUAAAGACCAGUGCUGUUUGGGCUUUAACCAGACCCGCGGAAGAAAAGGAGCCUUCAAGGGAGAGGGCCUUCCACUAAAAGGGAAACAACCGCAAAACAAAAAAAAUCGGGAGCCUGGAA